AGCAACCCGUUUGGUUAUCUUUCUGUGCUGUGGAAGGUUUGUUCUUUCACUCUGCACUAUUUUGCAAUAAAUAUUGCUAUUGCUCACUUUGGGUUUAUAUUGCCUUUAUGAGCUGUAACACUCACCAUGAAGGUCUGCAGCUUUACUCUUGAAGCUUAGCGAGACCACUAACCCACCAGAAGGAAGAAACUCCGGACACGCCGCCUUUAAGAACUGUAAUACUCAGUGCGAGGGUUCACGGCUUCAUUCUUGAGAAAGACAACGAGGAGGGAGCAGCUAGAGGGGUGGAAAUGGGAUCACGUGACCUUGCGAGAAGCAGGGAGAGAGAACACUGCGUCUGCUCCCUUUUAGAACAGACCACGUUCUAGAAUUGUAGAAUCCUG
rnacentral:lncRNA from 1 species